UCUCUUUCUGUCCUGUCUGUCUUCCUCUGUCCCCUUUCUCUGCCGUCAUGGCUCUGCUCCUGCCUGCCUCCACCCCUUCACCAGGUCCUCGCUCCUCUCCUUAUACCAGUGGUCACAUGUCCCGGAUGAAAUCAAGUGGUAUGAGAACACUAAUGCUGGGUUU